rnacentral:misc_RNA from 1 species
CAACCCUCAGGAGGCUCCGGCCGACUGGUGUUGGGGCCCCGCGGCCGCCUGCCGCGGGCCCCUAAAGUCAUCGGCGGUGCCUGCCAGCACUCCGGGCGCAGUAGCAAUCCUCGCCCAGGACGUCUGGCGGAGCGCCGGCCGCUAAGCAGCCCCCGCGGCACACUUUCAAGG